rnacentral:lncRNA from 1 species
AGUCAUGAAACUAAUGAUGUGGAAUUGUGAAAGGAGACAUCAGGAGAGUUUGUAACCUGUGUGGCACCGAUUGCCCCUUUAUUUGACUAAUUUUACCUCUAUGUCUGUUUGGUUGUUGUUUCUAUUGCUGUGUACUUGUUCUACUUGCACAUGGCUUGAGUGUACUUAGGACAAGUUUUGUUCAUACAUACCAGUACAAUUCAAAUGUACUGACGUCCCUUUUGCCAAGGGCGUUAUAUUCGUGUUAUGAUUGUAGGUGGAUCUUCAGCAGGUACUCCAGUUCACCGUCCAUAGAUCUCCGUCAUUCUUUGUCAGCUGCAUUGGUGAGCCCCUUUCCUUCAGGGGACCUGCAUGGCUCAUGCCACCCUUGUUCUUAUAUUUUGGAGACUUAUUUUGGUGUUUGUAAAAAGGUAUAGCCGGAGCCUUGUUAUAUAGUACUGUCACCUUGUAUCCUUAGAGGCUCCGCAGACACGAAGUGUGGGUCACAAACCAUGUAUAAUGUACUUGUAUUUAGGAUAAUGUAAUUUGUAAACCACGCUUAUAUCAUGUAUUGCUUGAUAAAAGGUAUUUCAAUCAUAAAUGGUGGUUUCCAUUUGGUUAAUAAAUAACAAAAAUGUGGCGUAACUUAUGGGUCUGGGAAAGGCAUUCAGGUCCACUCGACUGGGGAUACCCGGUUGAGUGCCAGUCAUGUCCCUCGGAUUUGGGGCGUGACAUGCAUAUCUUAUUUUCAGAAAGUGUGAGGUACUUGUUUUUGGGGUCCCAUUUUGGAGCUUGAGUAUCAUAACCAAGUCCUCUUUUAUUGCUACUGUAAUGCUCUUGCAACCAGGAGAGAGCAUCAGAAGUUUUAUUCCAUUUGCAAGUUCAGUCUAGUUCAUGUUUCACC